rnacentral:tRNA from 1 species
AUUUAUAUAAUAUAAUUAGUAUAAUUGAUUUCCAAUCAAAAAGUUUAAACACAUUUAAUAUAAAUA